AACUUUUCUCAAGGUUGACCUCGGAUCAGGUAGGGAUACCCGCUGAACUUAAGCAUAUCAAUAA
rnacentral:rRNA from 1 species